AACGAACGCUGGCGGCGCGCCUAAUACAUGCAAGUCGAGCGAGAAGACGUAGCAAUACGUUUGUAAAGCGGCGAACGGGUGAGGGAAUACAUGGGUAACCUACCCUCGAGUGGGGAAUAACUAGCCGAAAGGUUAGCUAAUACCGCGUACGCUCCUUGGACUUCGGUUCAGGGAGGAAAGCGAUACCGUGGGUAUCGCGCUCUUGGAUGGGGCUCAUGUCCUAUCAGCUUGUUGGUGAGGAACGGCUCACCAAGGCUUCGACGGGUAGCUGGUCUGAGAGGACGAUCAGCCACACUGGCACUGCGACACGGGCCAGACUCCUACGGGAGGCAGCAGUAAGGAAUAUUGCGCAAUGGGCGAAAGCCUGACGCAGCGACGCCGCGUGGGGGAGUGAAGGUCUUCGGAUUGUAAACCCCUUUCGGGUAGGGAAGAUGGAACGAGCAAUCGUUCGGACGGUACCUCCAGAAGCAG
rnacentral:rRNA from 1 species